GGCGACGUGUCUUUCAAGUAUCUGCCGUAUCAACUUUCGAUGGUAGUGUAUCUGACUACCAUGGUGAUCACGCGUAACGGAGAAUAAGGGUUCGGCUCCGGAGAGUUCGCCUGAGAAAUCGCGAACACAUCUAAGGAAGGCAGCAGGCGCGAAAAUUACCCACUCUCAGCACGAGGAGGUAGUGACGAAAAAUAACGAGACCGUUCUCUUUGAGGCCGGUCAUCGGAAUGGGUACAAUUUAAACCCUUUAACGAGUAUCUAUGAGAGGGCAAGUCUGGUGCCAGCAGCCGCGGUAAUUCCAGCUCUCAAAGUGCAUAGAAUUAUUGCUGCGGUUAAAAAGCUCGUAGUUGGAUCUGUGCCAUAGGACUGGGUCCACUUUCGGGUGCGUACUCAGCUCCUAGGCUUUUUGAUGGUUUUCCCGUCGUAGCCUUCACUGGUUGCGGCGGGUGGCUGUCGAGUUUACUUUGAGAAAAUCAGAGUGCUCAACACAGGCGUAUCGCUUGAAUGAUUGUGCAUGGAAUAAUAGAAAAGGAUUUCGGUCCUCUUUUAUUGGUUUUGUGGACUGAGAUAAUGGUUAACAGGGACAAACGGGGGCAUUCGUAUCGCUGCGUGAGAGGUGAAAUUCUUGGACCGUAGCGAGACGCCCUACUGCGAAAGCAUUUGCCAAGAAUGUCUUCAUUAAUCAAGAACGAAAGUCAG
rnacentral:rRNA from 1 species